UAGCCAAAUCAAGUAGCUUAGACCAUACCAAUAAAUUGGACAUCAACUUGAAACAUUCGUCUAGUCAACUCAAUUGACAUCGACUACUUCUUUAAAUUCUUUUGCAAUACAUCAAAACGUUUCAUGACAUCAUGAUACCAUACUCUUCACAGUACGUUGAGGACUUCGUCAGUUUGUGACUUCGUCAUUAUACAUCAUACCAUAGCAGGUUGUUGAUCCUAAGAUCAAAUCCAACACUAGGUUCAAUUGCAUUAAUAACUCCAUACUUUACCAUCCUUGCAUCAAAUGCACUGAUGAUAUAAAAUUCAUUU
rnacentral:lncRNA from 1 species